CCUCAAACUAAAGAUUUCUCUCAAAUCUCUCUUCCCACUGAUUUUCACCAUUUAAAUCGCCCGUUUAGGAACCAACUUCCUCUCCUUUUUCUUUCUCGUUUGGACGAUUCGAGCUUGCCCUAGAUUCUACCCCUUUUCUCCAAAUCAGUGAUUUACCUUCCUAAAAUUUUUGCUUUUUCUUCUAAAAAUCUUUCCUCUCUACCUCUCAUUUAGUCUC
rnacentral:lncRNA from 1 species